UUUAACUGCUGGGAAUUUCUCGUUGUUACGAGCCAAUUUUAAAUCGUGGUGUCCGGUGGUCCUGGACAUGUCUUUGAAUUUUGCUUGUCCUUAAGAUGUCCUGGAAAUAUUCCAUUUUCAAUGCCCUUGAAUAACCUGAAAAUGUCCUUGAAUUUGUUACGGAUUUUUUACCGGACACCGUGUCCCUGAGGACACAAAUAUUGCCCGUGAGAUAUCGCACGAAAAGAUAAAUUCGAGGAUUGCACUUUGACGCCGAUUUGCCGCGACUUAGUUAUUUUAUCUAGGUAUGUACAAGCUGUGGCAACGGUUAUGGAGCCGGAGGAAAUAGGUAUGCAAUCAUUGUUUCUGUGUGCAACGGUUGUUGAAGUACGAAAGGGGCAUGCCGAAGCUAUAAUUUCUAGAUUAUUAAUCUAGACUAAACAUCUAGGCUGGAAUAGAGAAGCGUGCAUUUUUAUAACGGUAUAAUUACAAUUGUAAUUCAAGCGAGUCCUUAGAUUUCCUCGCGGCCAGCGUCGAGCCAAAACUGGAUAGAUACUUGUGGCCUAGGGUGGUCCUUAUUUAGGGUGCUGAUGAUUUUUUCCGUCCCACCUCGUAAAUUGACUUCAAAUAUCUCAAAAACGAUUGUCCAAUUUUUUCAGAUUUUCACCUCAACUGAAAGAUCGUCCGCUUUGUGAUCAAAGUUUUUUGUUGGAAAUAACGUGAGAGAACCUUUUUUUUCUCAGUAUAUAUUUCAUUGUUUUUCCAAUGUUAUUUCCAUAAGAACCUUCGAUCGCGAAGCGGACUUUCUUUGAGUUGAGGUAGAGAUCUAAAAAAGAAAUGGGGCAAUUGUUUUUUGUAUUAUUUGACGUUGAUUUGGGGGGUGGGAUGGAAAAAAUUCGUCAACACCCCGAAUAAGGACCACCCUACUGUGCCCGGCAUAGCGGGGGGAGGGUAAUUUCCGAAGAAAACCAACUGAUAUUGCCACCCUGAUUACAGAUUUCGUACUUUUUCAUGUAUCGCUGAAUUUAAUCGUGUCAAGGAAGGAUGUGCAAGGUAGUAUGCAUGGGGCGUGGUUUAAAAAUCAAUAUCACAUGCAAGAUUGAUUGGAACUGGCCGAUCGUGAAGAGACCUGGAUUGGAAACAUCUCGUCUACCUAUGGAUCCGACGCUGUAUCCAAUACCAAUACGCACAGGUACGAGGUACGAGAGUGAUAUGCGACACCGAAAAUACAUAUAGCUUGGCAAAUUUGACACUGACAGUGCGAAAGUUGCUGGGCACCGGUAGUGGCAUAAGAAUUGGGAGCGCUGGCCUUCUCACUGGGUCCGGGCGGCAUAAUCCGUAUAAGCGACGCUAUCGCCGGUCACCUUAUACCUAGAUAGGUACAACAGUGUCACGGUACAACCAAGUAGUCAGAACAUCAUACCAAGAUGUACGACUACUUCAAGUUUCGAAUGUCUCAGCGAGUCUGCGGCAAAGCAUGUAGACUAUCCUUAGGCCCACGUAGCUAUUACCCGUGUUACAAUGUAACGGGCAUUCGUUCUCAGUCAUGCUCUGCUUCUCGUGCGCCACGGAGGUAUGGGUAGGUAAGAAGUAAGAACCAAGAACCCACGGUAUCCCGUGGUUUUGCCGGAGUGACGGACACGUUUUAUACAGCGAAUGGAUUUGCGCAUGUACCAACUUCGCGACAACGAACCCUGGUGAACCCGUUCUUAAUUCUUCAUUACACAUCAGCGCUUCACUUACAAUUAAACGACCAGGCAUAAUUCCUGUAAAAUUUUACCGAGUUGGACAAUGAUGUCAGGAAAUGAGCCACCGCAACAGCCCUCGAGUUUGGAGUCAUUCCCCAUGUCGCCAAUUUUUUAUUAAUAUCAAUGAAAAAAUUCUAAAAUGUUCUUGAAAUUAUAAAUAAUAAAACCCUCAAACUUAAUUUGCUCUAAGUGUUUUCAUUUUCUUGAAAAAAAAAAAAACACCUAAAA